GUGGGGAAUAUUGGACAAUGGGCGCAAGCCUGAUCCAGCCAUGCCGCGUGUGUGAAGAAGACCUUUGGGUUGUAAAGCACUUUUGUCCGGGAAGAAAUCUUCCAGGUUAAUACCCUGGGAGGCUGACGGUACCGGAAGAAUAAGCACCGGCUAACUUCGUGCCAGCAGCCGCGGUAAUACGAAGGGUGCAAGCGUUACUCGGAAUUACUGGGCGUAAAGCGUGCGUAGGUGGUUCGUUAAGUCUGCCGUGAAAGCCCCGGGCUCAACCUGGGAAUGGCGGUGGAUACUGGCGGGCUAGAGUGCGGUAGAGGGUGGUGGAAUUCCCGGUGUAGCAGUGAAAUGCGUAGAGAUCGGGAGGAACAUCUGUGGCGAAGGCGGCCACCUGGACCAGCACUGACACUGAGGCACGAAAGCGUGGGGAGCAAACAGGAUUAGAAACCCUUGUAGUCC
rnacentral:rRNA from 1 species